CACGUAGGGUGCAAGCGUUGUCCGGAAUUAUUGGGCGUAAAGAGCUCGUAGGCGGUCUGUCGCGUCGGCUGUGAAAACCCGCGGCUCAACUGUGGGCGGGCAGCUGAUACGGGCAGGCUGGAGUUCGGUAGGGGAGACUGGAAUUCCUGGUGUAGCGGUGAAAUGCGCAGAUAUCAGGAGGAACACCGGUGGCGAAGGCGGGUCUCUGGGCCGAUACUGACGCUGAGGAGCGAAAGCGUGGGGAGCGAACAGG
rnacentral:rRNA from 1 species